GUCGGGCUAGGAGUGUGGGGGUGCUCCCAGCUCAGGUGGGAUGGGGGUGACCAGGUUCAGCUCAUGGAGUCUGGGAGUAGGCGGAGACAGCUGGGGGGCAGAGGAGGCACCACUCAGAGGAGCGGGAGGAAAACAGAUAGGUCAAGACAGGCCAUUUCCUGGCCCCGGAGCAGACCCUGUGGGUGAGCAGGGAAGUUCCCGGAAGGAAGGAGGGGAUGGAGUACCAGAUCCCGCCAAGAAUGAGUCUUGCUCAGGUGGCCAGGGACCUCUGGAACCAACCAGCUAGGAGGAAGCUGGGAAGGGGACUGGGCCAUCCUGGAAGUGUGGCCACAGUCACUGUCACCUUUCAAAAGCACUUGCUGGCACCUUCUGAAAAGCCUCACCAUGUCCUUUCUGUACCCUGGGAGUUGCCCCAUGGCUGGAGCCAGGUACUGGCUGACCUUGGCAUGACCUCCAAUCCUCUACUUCAUCAUCUGUAAAAUGGUGACCCUAAUAACCGCUACCUAGAAGAGUACUGAGAUGGCGCACCCAGAGUCCCUAGAAUUCUGGACAGGUCUGGGAGAAUCAUGACAUUAUGUAAGAUAAGGGACCUCAG
ensembl:lncRNA